UUUUGGUGAAUAAAAAAAGUUUUGAAUGUAAGUUGGUACGUAUGCGAAAACCCUCAUGGUUUAACUUGAUUGGUUUAAUGAAAUCUUUGUUACACUUCGGCAUGACUAAUCAAAAUCAAGUUUUUAAACCUGUAAUCUAUUUUGGUAUAUUUUGUUGGAAAAUCAAGCAUCAUCUAUUGUGUGCAAAUACUUUCUAUUGUUUUGAUACUUGGUUUUUGAAUAAGGUAACGAAAUUUACCAAAUUUGUUUUCAAUUUAUAUUCGUGCCUUAAACAGUUUCUGUGGUUAUACAUGAAGUUUGAGUUGCAUUUGACAAAGGUUAACUCAACAACGGAGUUUCGACUACACUAUGCCCCCGAUGAGCGAAGAUUCGAGGACGAAUCUUUUUGAGGAAGGGGGAAUGAUACGAGUCACAGAGGCCCAACCCAAAUUCUUGAAGGCAAGGCCCAAUAAGAAGAUUCCAAGCCCAAUCAAGAAAUCCACCCAUACUUAGUUGAAAAUCAGGCCAAAUUGUCAAAGUGGCUCAAGUUGUAAAGUUAUAUUUUUAUUUUUAUUUAUUUAUUUAUUUUUACUUAGUUUAAUUUUUAUGUAAAUAUUCAGUCCCAGAGUCCCAAAUAAAGACCCUUGGCUGAAUUUCCAUAUUAAAAUAAUUAGGAGUUUUUUUUUAUUUUAGUUUUCUAAUUAGAUUAGGACUAGUUAUAAGGCCUAUUUAUAUGGAUUGGCCAGCCACCCUACAUUACAUUACAAUUACAUUGAAAAUUUCAGAUUUAAUUUGAGUGAAAAUUCUCUUUGAGUUCUCCAA